rnacentral:sRNA from 1 species
ACAAGGGAGCCUCCCCCACUGUGGCCAUGGAGCCUGGGAGGCUGUGGCGUGCUGGGUGUCGGCAUCUGGCUGGCCGCCACACAGGGGAGCUUCGCCACGCUGUCGUCCUCCUUCCCGUCCCUGUCGGCUGCCAACCUGCUCAUCAUCACUGGCGCCUUUGUCAUGGCCAUCGGCUUUGUGGGCUGCCUGGGCGCCAUCAAGGAGAACAAGUGCCUCCUGCUCACUGUGAGUGCCGGGGCCCAAGCGAUGCUCCGGGUGGGAUCACGCAGGGUGGGGUUCCGGUGGUCCCCAGGCCUUGGCUGCUGCAGUGACCCCCCCAGACGUGGCACCACCUCUGGGGCCUGACCUGGGAGUGUGGCCCAGGGCGCUGGCCACUGCUGGGUCUUCCAGGCUACACUGGGGCUGGGGGUGAUUUGCAGAGCGGCGUGGGGGUCACUCUCUCAAGAGAACAUGCUAUGCUGUACCUUGUCGGGGGCCUCCCCUGAUGGGACACUGGCCCUGGUGAGUGCAGGCACAGCCCCAUACACACACACACACACACACACACGCGCGCGCAGCCUUUCACGGGCUUGCGGUCUCCGUGACCCAUUCCUGGCCACUCCACCCCCACUGUGGCCCCUUCCCCAGCUUCUUGUUGGGGGCCUGGUCUCUCAGCUCCCUGGGACCGUCUGCUGGGACCCUCCCAGCCCCCACCUCGCCUCGGGGAUGGACUCACAGGCAGGGAUAUGUUUAUCCUCCUUGGAAAUGUUAAUCACAGAUAAUUAAAAAGGAAAAGGGCUCCUAGAUGGAAACACAGGCUUGCUACUGAUUAAUAUGCCUGGCUGAGGCCAUGGGCCCCGCGGGGGGUGUGCAGCCUGCUGAGGUCCUAAAUCACGAGGCUUCCGAUCACUCCUUUGUCUGGGAAGCCCUGGAUGGGGUGGGGCCUCCCUUAAGUCGCCUCAGCCAGCCCACUCCCCUCCGUACCCCUUCCUGGGGGCAAGCCCCACGUCUGUCAGCCUCCCUGGCAUCAGGUUGGGGCCUAGAGACCCCUGGAGGCAGUCGGUGGGGGUCUGUGGCAGCCCUGCUGGGGCUUGGAGCUCUUCAAACAGUUGAGGAAGCUGCUGUGUGUGGGCCCUGCCAGGCCUGCAGGGACCGAAGCCCAACCCCCUUUCCCAUGGGUGACUUGGGACCAGAACCCUGGGUACCUCCUGGGGGUGAGGGACUCCUGUGUCCUUAGCCCAGCACCCUGUCUGCCCCACUCACGCCCACUCUGCCUGGGCCCCCCAGCUCCUGGACACACACUGUCCAUGCCUGCCCUCUUUUGUGGGUGUCACUGACCCCCGCAUGGAGGAGCAGCAGGGCUGGGGUCAGGCUGAGUUUCAGGGCUGCCGCCAGGUGGGGAAAGCGUGCGUGGUCAGAGGUGGGGCUUGCAGCCUGUGGUCUUGCUGGAGGGGGCAUCAGCCACGCUGGCUGCCCUGAGGGCUGUGACGUGUAGGCAGAGGGGGCCUCUGCAGCCCAGCUGUGGCCCCUGCUGGGGCAUCUUCCCACCAUGAAGACACAGGCACCCAGCGAGGCAUCUGCCAGACACUCAGAGGCCCCUGGAUGGAGGUGUCCUGAAGGCAGCUGACAGGGGCUGGGGUCUCGAGAACAGGGACUUGUGCCCACUUGGGGGUGUCUGGGUUGUCCCAGGGAUGGGGGUGGGGGAGGGGAGCCCAGGCCAGCUCAGGGCCCCACACUCAGGGGCUGAGCAGGACGCAACAGCCACAGUCCCUGGACCUGGGGCCAAGGGUUCUGAGGUGGGGGCGGUGUUCUGGGCUCUCUGGGAGUGGGGGCCUGGCAAAGGUUUCCUGGCAGUACCAGGUUUCCAUGAGUUCUUCCUGCUGCUGCUGCUGGUGUUCCUGCUGGAGGCCACCAUCGCCAUCCUCUUCUUCGCCUACACGGACAAGAUUGACAGGUAUGCCCAGCGAGACCUGAAGAAAGGCUUGCACCUGUACGGCACGCAGGGCAACGUGGGCCUCACCAAUGCCUGGAGCAUCAUCCAGACCGACGUGAGGCGUGGGCAGGUGGGCGGGGUCAGCGGGUGCCCCCUCCCCUCCCGCCUCAGCCCGACCAGAGCUUGCCCUCCAGUUCCGCUGCUGUGGCGUCUCCAACUACACUGACUGGUUUGAAGUGUACAACGCCACACGGGUGCCUGACUCCUGCUGCCUGGAGUUCAGUGAGAGCUGUGGGCUGCACGCCCCCGGCACCUGGUGGAAGGCGCCGUGCUACGAGACAGUGAAGGUGUGGCUUCAGGAGAACCUGCUGGCUGUGGGCAUCUUCGGGCUGUGCACGGCGCUGGUGCAGAUCCUGGGCCUGACCUUCGCCAUGACCAUGUACUGCCAGGUGGUCAAGGCGGACACCUACUGCGCGUAGGCCGCCCGCCGCCCGCUUCUCUGCCAAAAGGACACCCACGGGGAGAUGGCCGCGCCCACAGCUGCCUUUCCCACCACCAGCCUCGGUGCUCUGCCCCAUGCUGGGAGGAGGGAGGGAGGAAGGAACAGGUGCCUGGAGCCCCCGGAACCCUGUUCCUGGAAGGCCCUGGCUCAGGUGGCUUCAGGGCAUCCGGACCCCCUCCCCCCACCCCGGGAGGGGUGGCCACACGCUGGCUGCGGGACCCGGGGCAGGGGUGGGAGGGGCCUCCAGCACUUUUUAUAUUUACGUAUUCUCCAGAGCAGUGUUCACACGGGAGCCAGCCUGUGGCCCCCAGCCUCCCGGGAAACGGGCUGGGGCUGGAGGAGCCGGGUCUCGGCAUCCUGGAGGUGGCCCCGCUGGUCCUGGUGCUCCAGGCAGGGCCGUGGACCCCUCACCUACAUUCCAUAGUGGGCCCGUGGGGCUCCUGGUGCAUUUUAAUAAAGUGUGAGCAGC